UGGUAAAUUUCCCUUUCUGAGAGAAUUUUCAACAUAAAAGGGAAAAGUUAACUUAUGAGGGAAUCUUUGCUCCAGUCCAAAUUGUAAAAUGUUUAUAAAAAUCAAAAUAUUUGAAAAUAAUUCAACAUAUUUUCACAGAUUUUUUAAAUACGAGCAUAGGAGGGAAUUUUAUCAUAAAAGUGGGAAUUUUUAAGGUACGUUGAGGGAAAAAGUUUACUCGACAGCUGGCAACACGGGAAAAGUAACCUGGCCUGCCAUCCUGCCAAGCGGUGAUAAUUUGUGGUUAGGUAUGUCCUAUCCUAUGUUGAUAUUUUUCUUUGAUUUUUUUACAACAUUUACCGUAUACAGUAUAAUUCUCCGAGACUAUUACUUUAAUUACUAAGCUGAAGCUUGUUUUCUUCAGUUUUUCAUAGACCCACCUGCAUGUGGUGAUUAGGUACAGAUUGGUAUUCUUUUUGCUUUGGUGAAAUUAAGAGCUGAAACAAAACUGAGCAUCGGAAUCUGAAGCUAGUGGGUUUAAUGUAAGUUCCAAUAAAUAAUUUUAGACAAUAUAUUGUAUUUUAGUUGAGUGAUUACUGAAUAAAUAGUUAUAUAAAAUGGUA
rnacentral:lncRNA from 1 species